rnacentral:rRNA from 1 species
CCUACGGGUGGCUGCAGUGAGGGAUAUUGGUCAAUGGAGGAGACUCUGAACCAGCCACGUCGCGUGAAGGAUGACUGCCCUAUGGGUUGUAAACUUCUUUUAUAUGGGAAUAAAAUGUUCCACGUGUGGGAUUUUGUAUGUACCAUAUGAAUAAGGCACGGCUAACUCCGUGCCAGCAGCAGCGGUAAUACGGAGGAUCCGAGCGUUAUCCGGAUUUAUUGGGUUUAAAGGGAGCGUAGGUGGGUUGUGAAGUCAGAUGUGAAAGUUUGCGGCUCAACCGUAAAAUUGCAGUUGAAACUGGAAGUCUUGAGUACAGUAGAGGUAGGCGGAAUUCGUGGUGUAGCGGUGAAAUGCUUAGAGAUCACGAAGAACUCCGAUUGCGAAGGCAGCUCACUGGACUGCAACUGACACUGAGGCUCGAAAGUGUGGGUAGCAAACAGGAUUAGAUACCCGUGUAGUC